UACGGAGGGUGCGAGCGUUAAUCGGAAUCACUGGGCGUAAAGCGCGCGUAGGCGGCUUUUCAAGUCAGGGGUGAAAUCCCACGGCCCAACCGUGGAACUGCCUUUGAAACUGUAGAGCUUGAGUGUCGGAGAGGGUGGCGGAAUUCCAGGUGUAGGAGUGAGAUCCGUAGAUAUCUGGAGGAACACCGGUGGCGAAGGCGGCCACCUGGACGACAACUGACGCUGAGGUGCGAAAGCGUGGGUAGCAAACAGG
rnacentral:rRNA from 1 species